GCCACACCCCACGGGAGCCCGGGCACGGGCUGAGAUCGGACUGUUGCCGUCCGGACCGUCUGAACCUGUCCGGAUCAUGCCGGCGAAGGAAGAGGAGACGCCACCGUG
rnacentral:ncRNA from 2 species